UGCCUUAGAAGGUGAUGAAUGGAGAUGCAUGACAUAAUGAACUGAGAAGAAAGAUGAGGAGAAAUGGAAUUGCCAUAAAUGUUCGUGGCCUCCAGGAGCUUGAGAGUGCUGAGCCAGCUGUAACCAGAAACCAGAGCAGAGGGGGCAGGUGGCAUCUGAAACCUGGAAGCAGUGCAGAUGAGUCAUAAAGGUGAUGAAGACAAUGCAGGGGAUGAAGACUGAACCAAGUUUGAAUCAGUGAACUCAUUGAGAAUCAUGAGCACAAGCCCGAGAGCUUCCUCCUGUUCAUCAUUACCUGGAUGUUGCUGCAGGCUCUCUUGUCUCAUUUGCCCUCUGCCUCACACUGGAGUGACGUUGGUGACAUGACUGAUCCUCUGAACUGUACACAGAGUUGUUUCCCUUGCAGGCAUUGGGCAAGAAUUCAUAACAAUUAAAGAAAGCUCUAGUACAGAUUAGAUUGAAGCCAACGAUAGCUAAAUUGUUUCAUCUUUCUAACUGAUGUGUUUGUGGUUUGCCUGCAAACUCAACCUAUAAAAAUGAGACACAAAGAUGUUCUCACACCUUAGCACAACCCCCCUGCCAAAACAUCAUGACUCAGGAUAGCCAAGGACAUUUAUUAUAGCAAAAUGAAUUGUCAGAACAGGCUGAACUUCAGUUCUUGUUGAGUGUUUGUGCCCUGAUGAAGUAAAACAUUUCAGGAAUAAUUUGAAUCAUUGCCUGGAUGACUGUUGGCACAGGGUUUCCCCAAAUCCAUUCUCAUGCCUAACAUAGAAUAUGCCAUGGUCAAAGACACCUUCCAUUAAAUCAGGCUGUUCAAAGCCCCAUCCAGUCCCACCUUGGACUCAAGGUGUCAUGGUAGUAAAAUAGCAGUGCUGCAUGCUUCAUCAUCGGCUAACAACUUCAUAACCUCCCUGGCCAGUAAUGAAAAAAUGGAGUAAAAGUCUUUGGAACCUGACUGUGAUUUUGUCUGAUAUAGAAGAAAAGUUAAUGACAGCCAAAAGAGCCAGAAUCAAUAGAGUAAGGGCUAAAGGCUGUAUAAUAAGGGGAAAGUUACACUGAGACAGCAGAAAGUUACCUUUUUUGGGAGCUGUCUUGGUCAAAACCCAAACAUAAAAAGAAUAAAUGAAUACUGCAGGUGGGAGGGCUGAUGCUCUGAUAUAAUAAAAUUUUAUCAUGUCCAGAGCUGCCAUUGUCAGCAUGUAGAGUGAAGAGAUUGAUUUACAUCCAGUGAAUUCACUAGCAACCUAAUAAUAACAUAUGUUUUCCAAAUAGGCCACUCUGGAAAACCUGGCUUUAUUAUAAUUAUAUGUGCCUGUUAGACCUACCAGCAUCUUGGAUCACAGGCUGUACUCAUAAAUUAUAUUAUAUUGCUGAUUUUAUAUAUAUAUUGUGAUUGCAAUUUAUGUGUCAGUUUAUAUUUAUUCCCCUGCUUGACAUUAUUCCUCACAAUGAGAAAGAUUUAUAUUUUUUCCAGCAUUAUUUUGACCUUAAUAAAGAGUGUCUUACUACAAAGUGAAUUAUGAGUAUAUGGACCUCUUGGCAAAGCUGGUCUUCAGAGAAGUCUGAUGGAAAUUUUUCAGGUGCCCCCAUCUUUUGGAUUUUUCACUUUCUGAGUUGAACACGGAGGGAAAACCACACAGCUCAGACCUCAUGGCCAAAGCAGUGUCAGAAAAGACACCUUUAAGGAGCUUAAGUGUCUGUGGAAUUGCCAUCCCCAGAGGUUCAGGGCUCAACUCUUUCUGGAUUAGUUCUCUAGACCAAAGCAAUGCCCACCCCAGCCUUGCUUCCACAAACUUGUCUACCUCCCAUUUGUUUCUGAUGGUGUUUCCAGCAACAAGGUCUACAGUUCCUUAGAGAAAUUCUUCACUCUGGUAUCCUGGGAUUUCAGGAUUUUUUACUGUUACUGGCACUUUUAAGGGAAUUGAAAAACUUAGUCACUGAUGGUGAUUCUUCUCAUUAACUUAAUCCAUUCAAAAUCCUCUCUUUUUAUAUGAGGGAGUUUGCAUCCUGACUGUUGAAGAUUACUUAGUCCAGGCAACAUCCUCAGAGCCUGCAUUUGGAGGUGUUGAGUGCUACAACCUGAAGCCUGUGGAAAAUUCCGCAAGGUCAAUUAACUUAAACAAGGUCUAUGAAAAUUGGCUUUAAGUGUGCCACAACAGGCUGAAACUAAAAGAAAAAACAGAUCUGAAAAAAAGGGAAAAAUAUAUUUCGUUAGGGUACUUUUUAAUUUAAUUCUAGCAGGGAUAUAAUACACAGAGAAAUAAAUUCCACAGGUCUACUCAGCUACUUAAGUUACAAGUCUACUAAGUUACUUAAGAAUUUCUAAUGUCUCCCUUCUCUUAGCAAGGAAAUAC